UACGAAGGCAGCAGUGGGGAAUAUUGCACAAUGGGCGAAAGCCUGAUGCAGCUAUGCCGCGUGUAUGAAGAAGGCCUUAGGGUUGUAAAGUACUUUCAUCGGGGAGGAAAAAACAAAACUAAUAAUUUUAUUUCUUGACGUUACCCGAAAAAGAAGCACCGGCUAACUCCGUGCCAGCAGCCGCGGUAAUACGGAGGGUGCUAGCGUUAAUCAGAAUUACUGGGCGUAAAGAGCACGUAGGCGGUUUUUUUAAGUCAGAUGUGAAAUCCCUGGGCUUAACCUAGGAACUGCAUUUUGAAACUGAAAUACUAGAGUAUCGUAGAGGGAGGUAGAAUUCUAGGUGUAGCGGUGAAAUGCGUAGAUAUCUGGAGGAAUACCUGUGGCGAAAGCGGCCUCCUAAACGAAUACUGACACUGAGGGUGCGAAAGCGUGGGGAGCAAACGAGGAGUUAGAUACC
rnacentral:rRNA from 1 species